GAUUCAAUCGACUCUGCAGUAAUGCAGAGAGCCUGCACAGGUGCUGCAUGGCUGUCGUCAGCUCGUGUCGUGAGAUGUUGGGUUAAGUCCCGCAACGAGCGCAACCUUGUGUUUAGUUGCAAACAGGUCAAGCUGUGCACUCUAGACAGACUGCCGUGGACAACACGGAGGAAGGUGGGGAUGACGUCAAAUCAUCAUGCCCCUUAUGAUCUGGGCUACACACGUGCUACAAUGGCCGGUACAACGGGCAGCGAAGGAGCGAUCCGGAGCGAAUCCUAAAAAGCCGGUCCCAGUUCGGAUUGCAGGCUGAAACUCGCCUACAUGAAGUUGGAGUUGCUAGUAAUCGCGAAUCAGAAUGUCGCGGUGAAUGCGUUCCCGGGUCUU
rnacentral:rRNA from 1 species